AGUCCUUCCGGGAGCUCCGGAGCUCCGGGGCUUCCACCACAUCUGCCGGCUCAGGACGGGUCGUGCUCAUCCCUUAACUUUUUAACUUUUUGUUGUUUCUAUUUAUAUUUUAUUGUGCUAUGUCUUGAAAUGUUGUUGUAGCUAUUACUUUUGAUUGGAUAUUACUUAGUAUUCCUACUUUAAAUAAGAGUAGUUUGCACACCACACAGCUAUAGUGUUAUAAUAUUCUGUUUUGUUUUGUAUCCUAUUAGCAGUGAGGAUUUUUUUUUACCUUUAGGUGAUCAUUUAUUACUCAUUAAUGUCCUUUUCUUCCUGAUUGAAGUACUCCCUUUAGCAUUCCUUUAGGACAGGUAUGGUAUUCAUAAAAUACUUCAGCUUUUGUUUGUCUGAAAAAGUCAGUAUUCUUUUUUUUUGAAGAACAUUUUCACUGUAUAUUCUAUUCUAAGGUAAAAGUUUCUUUCCUUUAGUACUUUAAAUAUUUAUUGCUUCUCUCUCCCGGCCAGUAGAGUUUCCACUGUAAAGUCUGCUGCCAGACAUGUUGGAGCUCCCCAGUAGGUUAUUUGUUUCUUUUCUCUUUCUUGCUUAAGAACUUUUAUCUUUGACUUUUGGAAGACUAUUGAAUGCUUCGAAGUAGUGUUUUUUGGGUUAAAUCUGCUUAAUGUUCUAUAACAUUUUUGUAGUUGGAUAUGGAUGUCUUUCUCUAGGUUUGGAAAGUUCUCUGUUAUUAUCCCUUUGAAUAAAUUUUUCUACCCCUGCCUCUUUCUCUACAUCUUCUUUAAAACCAAUAACUCUUAGAUCUGUCUUUGUGAGGCUAUUUUCUAGAUCCUCCCCUGCCUCUUUCUUUACAUCUUCUUUAAAACAAAUAACUCUUAGAUCUGUCUUUGUGAGGCUAUUUUCUAGAUCCUGUCGGCAUGAUUUGUUGUUUUUAUUCUUUUUCUUUUGUCUCUUCUAUGUAUUUUCAAAGAGCCUGUCUUCAAGCUCACUAUUUCUUCUGCUUGAUCCAUUCUGCUAUUACAUGGCUCUAAUGCAUUCUUCAGCAUGCCAAUUGCAUUUUUCAGCUCAGAAUGUCUGCUUAAUUUACUGUAACUAUUUCAAUCUCUUUGUUGAGUUUAGCUGAUAAAAUUUGGAAUUUCCUUACUUUGUUAUCUUAAAUUUCUUUCAGUUUUUUUUUUUUAAAUACAGCUAUUUUGAAUUCUCUGUCUGAAACAUCACAUAUCUCUUUUUCUCCAGGAUUUGUCCCCAGUGCCUUAUUUAGUUCACUUGGUGAGGUCAUGUUUUCCUGGAUGGUGUUGAUGCUAGUAGAUGUUCUUCAGUGUCUGGACAUUAAAAUCUUGGGCAUGCAGCACCAUAUGAGAAGUUUAAAAAAUAAAAUUUAAAGAGAGAAAAGACUCAGAGAAGUACCACCUUGACAGCCUUCAACAAGAUCCAGGAGAAUUUUCUGGAUUACUAGCCACAGACUCUUUCCCUACCCUUAUUUUCUCUCAAAGAUACAGAGUCUUUCUCUCUGUUCUAAGCCACCUAAAGCUGGGAGAAGAAAGACACAAGCACCUCUGGCCACCACCACUAUGACUGCCCUGGAUCAGACCUGAAGCUAGCACAGCACAGGUCUUGCUCAAGUCCUGCUGCAUGCAAUUUCUGACGACUCCCUAUGUUCACUCAAGGCCUUUGGUCUCUACAAUUAGCAGGUGGCAAAGCCAGACAGGCCUGUGUUCUUUCCUUUAGGGCAGUGAGAUCCCUCAGUCCCUGGCUGGGUCCAGAAGUGCUAUUCAGAAGUCAGGGCUUUGGCCACUUUUUAAUAGGGUUUUUUGUUUUUCUCUUGUAAAUUUAAGUUCCUCAUAUUGAAUAUUAGAUCUUUGUCAGAUACAUAGUUUGUAAAUAUUUUUUCCUCAUUCUAUAGGUUGUUCACUCUAUUGAUAAUUUCUUUUGCUGAGCAGAAGCUUUUAAGUUUAAUUAGAUCCCACUUGUCAAUAGUUGUAUUUGUUGUUUUUGGUGUCUUUAUCAUGAAAUCUUUGCCUCUUUCUAUGUCCAGGAUGGUAUUGUCUAGGUUGUCUUCCAGAGCUUUUAUAGUUUUGGGUUUUACAUUUAAGUAUUUAAUCCACCUUGAGUUGAUUUUUGUAUAUGGUAUAAGGAAGAAGUCCAACUUCAAUCUUCUGCAUAUGGCUAGCCAGUUAUCCCAGCACCAUUUAUUGAAUAGGGAAUCUUUUCCCCAUUGAUUGUUUUUGCCAGCUUUGUGAAAGAUUACCUAGUUGUAGGUAUGUGGUCUUACUUCUAACCUCUCUAUUCUGUUCCACUGGUGUAUGUGUCUGUUUUUGUACUAGUACCAUGCUGUUUUGGUUACUAUGGUGCUGUAGGUUAGUUUGAAGUCGGGUAAUGUGAUGCCUCAAGCUUUGUUCUUUUUGCUUAGGAUUGCCUUGGCUACUUAGGUUCUUUCUUGGUUCUAUAUGAAUUUUUAAAUAGCUUUUUUCUACUUCUGUGAAGCAUGUCAUUGGUAGUUUAAUAGGAAUAGCUUUGGACAGUACAACCAUUUAAAUGAUAUUAAUUCUUUCUCUCCAUUAAGAUGGAAUGAUUUUUCAUUUAUUUGUGUCUUCUCUGACUUCUUUGAGCAGUGUUUUGUAAUUUUCAUUGUAGAGAUUUUUCACCUCCCUGGUUAGCUGUAUUUGUAUGUACUUUAUUCUUUUUGUGGAAAUUGUGAAUAAAAUUGCCUCUCUGAUUUGGCUCUUAGUUUGGCUCUUCUUGGUGUAUAGGAAUGCUAGCAAAUUUCGUACAUUGAUUUUGUGUCCUGAAACUUUGUGGAAGUUGUUUAUCAGCUUAAGGAGUUUUGGGUCACAACUAUAGGGUUUAGAUACAGAAUUAUGUUGUCUGCAAACAGAGGUAGUUGGACUUCUCUUUCUAUUUAAAUACGCUUUAUUUCUUUCUCUUGUCUGAUUGCUCCAGAAAGGACUUCUAAUACUAUGUUGAAUAGGAGUGGUGAGAGAGGGCAUGCUUGUCUUGUGCGGGUUUCAAGGAGGAUGCUUCAAGAUUUUGCCCAUUUAGUAUAAUGUUGGCUGUGAGUUUGUCAUAGGUGGCCUUUAUUAUUUUGAGGUAUGUUCCUUUGAUACCUCAUUUAUUGAGAAUUUUUAACUUGAAGCUUUGUUGAAUUUUACUGAAAGUCUUUUCUGCAUCUGUUGAGACAAUCACGUGGUUAUUAUCUUUAGUUUUAUUUAUGUUAUGAAUCACAUUUUAUUGAUUUGCCCAUGAUGGACCACCCUUCUAUUCCAGGGAAGAAGCUUAUUUCACUAUGGUGAAUUAGCCUUUUGAUGUGUUGCUAGAUUCAGUUUGCAAGUAUUUUGUUGUGGAUCAUUGAAUGGAUGUUCAUCAAGGAUACUGGCCUGAAGUUUUCUUUUUUUGUUUUGUCACUGCCAGGCUUUGGUAUCAGGAUGAUUCUGGCCUCAUAGAACAAGAUGGGGAAGAGUCCCUCCUCCUCUAUUUCUUGAAAUAGUUUCAGUAGGACUGGUACUGGCUCUUCUUUGUACAUCUGUUAAAAUUUGUUAAUCUAUCAGGUCCUGGGCUUUUUGGGGGUUGGUAGGCUAUUUAUUACGGAUUCAAUUUUUGGAGCUCAUAAUUGGUCUGCUCAGAGACUGAAUUUCUUCCUGGUUCAGUCUUGAGAGAGUAUAUGUGUCCAGGAAUUUAUUAAUCUCUUCUAGGGUUUCUAGUUUGUGUGUAUAGAGGUGCUCGUAGUAGUUACUGGUUGUUAUUUUUUUUUCUCUGGGGUCAGUGGUAACAUUCCCUUCAUCAUUUCUAAUUUUCUUUAUUUGAAUCUUCUCUCAUCUUCUUUAUUAAUCUAGCUAGUGCCCUAUCUUAGUAAUUUUUUCAAAAAACCUUGAUUAAGUGAUCUUUUGAACAGUUUUUCAUGUCUCAAUUUCUUUCAAUUCAGCUCUGAUUUUAGUUAUUUCUUGUCUUCUAUAAGCUUUGUGGUUGAGUUCUCCUUGCUUCUCUAAUUCUUUCAGUUGUGAUGUUAGGUUGUUAAUUUGAGAUAUUUCUAAUUUUUUGAUAUGGGCAUUACUUCUUAUGCCCUACUCUAAAUUUUGUUCUUCUAGAAAACUCAGAACUAUGCUUUCUAAACCAAUUCAAACUUUCUCAGUGAAUCAACCUGGACUCCCUGAGGCCAAGUUAGCAAUUUUCCAUUACACUUGGUUCUCUUUCUCUGUAAGAAUAUCUAAUGCAACAAUUCAAGUGUUUCUUUCCCUCCUGGUAAUGCGGGGAACUCCUUUUGGCUGAGACCAAGACUUAAAACCUUGUUCUUUCAACAUUAAUGAAGAUCUAUUUAGAAAGCCUCCAUUUUUGCAGAAAAGAUAUAUAAACACCAAUGAAAAUCAAUAUGAAAUUAUAUGACAUACAAUUAUAUUGUGGAAAGACUGAAUAAAUAAGUGAACUAAGCUCUAAGAAAAAAAGAUGAUGAUAUAAAAUGAUAUAGAAGUAAAAACCUGGGCUGGUAUAGCAUAAUUAAUGUAUCAGUAAAGUAUGUACAUUGUAGAAGUGGCAGGAAGACAGCAUAGAGAGUGAGACCUGACCAAAAGCUUUAAGGAAAGUUCUAUACCCUUAAACGAGAUUAAAGUGGACUCAGGAAAACAUGGGCCACAUGAGGGGAAGGACACAUGUUCCAGAUGAGCCAAAGCUCAGAGCAUCUCUACCUUCUCCAGGAGGAAAGGGGAGGCAAAGCAGCAGGCAGAAGACAGCACGGCCAGGUCAGCACAGGGCACCCAGGCCAAGCCAGGUGGGCUCCAUCAUACAGGUAGUGAGGAGUCACUGCCAGGUGGGCUUUAUUCAUUAGUUUGUUUUGUUUCUUUUAGUAACGAAGACACAUGAUCAAAGUUGACCUUUGUAAGUGUUGCUGCAGCUGAACAAAAAGAUGGAUAAGACCAGUGUUUUAAAAAUUAUGUUGUAUAGAGCACUAGCCUCAGUGAGAUAUUAGUAGAACACACAGGCACACACACACACACACACACUCACACUAAGCCCAGAUUAUUCUGGCAAAUGCUGGGUUAAGCAAACUAAAAGAAACAUCUUUAGUGCUGGACUUCUCAGAACCUGGAAUGUCGCUAUAUGACUCAUAAAACAGCAAGGUUAAGACAGAACAUGUCAUUUUUUCCCAGAAAUGCUGAAACACUUUCCUUCCCUUGGCUUCAGUGUCACCUUCUUUCUCCUGGUUCUCCAUCAACCUCUUUGGCUGAUCCUUCUUGAUUUCCUUCUUGACAAUCUGCUGCUGCUCAGCCAUUCUCUUUUCAUUCCCCAUGGAUUUCUCAAGUGCGUUUCUAUUCCUGCAUUUUAAACUUUCCUUGUUUUUCCUGACACCUCUCCUUGUCUGACUCACCCCUGUUCUAAGGCAGGUGUUCCAUCUGUGUGCGCUUUUGGCACCCUGGGAUGCUCCCAGCAUGUUCCCUGCCACACUCCAUCAGGUUUUCUCCGCAGACUCUGUGAGGGCAGCAGCCUUGUCUCCACCAUUCCUUCAAUGCUCAGCACAUAACACAGAAGCUGACUCCAUAACAUUUAGUUGGCCAACUGAGACUAAAUAUAUGUUCCUCUAGAUCUUAAAAAGUUACAGAAACAUAGCACAAUAGACAAAAUAUUCUCUUUAGUCAGGAGUUCUCUAUAUAUGUACAACAGUUUGAAGUCAUUAUUAAAGCAAAGUGAAAGAGAAACUGUCACAGAAUUCCCCAAGAUAAAUUAUUUUGCUUUAGUCUUCAUCAUGUGAGAUAAUCAAGACCAUGUGUUAUUGUAAAUAUUUCUAGCUUACAACACAACGACCUGAUUUUUAUUGUGUGAAAUAACCGCAAUAUAAAUCAGUUAAUUAAAAAUUGCAUAAAUAAUCCUUUCAAAUAAAAUUCUGCCUAAAUUUUACAUUACUCAUAUGUUCAAAUGAUAAUGAGCUCAUAGGCUUUUCCAAUACCUCAGUCAAAACACUGUACUGAUUCCAGCUGUGGGAAUAGUAUCUGAAAGUUAUUUUACAGAUGGGGAACAGGUACUUACCUGACAUUGGCCUUUACACUACUGUGCCCUUUUAGGUCAGGAAAAAGCUGUUCCCUUAAAAUCCUAAAAUCUCUUCUGUCAGGUCUGAAGGGUGGGUGGGAAACACAGUUUUACAAAUUUUAGCCACAGAUGUUUUAUUCCUUGCUUAAAGCAGUGACUAGAUAAAGGCCACUAGAAGAGUCUCCAAUGUUUCUUUAGAAGCGUGUGCCUGAGAACAUCUUCCAGAAACACUCCCUUGUCUCUGCCCAAAAUCACCUUAGGUAGGAAAAUCAAAACUCAGCAGGCUGAGGGAUCCAAGGGGAUCACUGAGCUCUGAGUCUUAUGAGAGAAGAGAGAGAGGUCUAAGACUUUUUGUGUAUAAAUUUAUGGGUUCCAAGUGUAAUUUUGCUGUAAGCAUGGAUGGCAUAGUGGUGAAGUCAGGGCUUUUAGGUAUCCAUCACCAGAAUAAUGCACAUUGUACCCAUUAAGUAAUUUCUCACUGUUCACCCCUUCCAUCCCCUCACCCUGCUGAGUCUCCAUUAUCAUUCCACUCUCUACGUCAAUAUCUACACAUCUUUUAGCACCCGCUUAUGAGUGAUACAAUAUGAUGUUUACUCUGUGUCUGGCUUGCUUCACUUACAACAAUGGCCUCCAGUUCCAUCCAUGUGUCUGCAAAAGUUAUAAUUCUAUUGUUUUUUAUGCCUGAAUGGUAUUUCAUUGUGUAUAUUUUCUACAUUUUCUUUCUCCAAUCAUUUGUUGAUGGGUAUUUAGUUUCAUUUUAUGUCUGUGCUACUGUGAAUAGUGUUGCAACAAAUACACAAGUACAGUUAUCUUUCUGAUACAUUGAUUUCUUUUCCUUUGCAUAAAUACUCAGUGGUGGGAUUGCUGAAUCAGACAGAGCCAAUAGAUGAUCAGUAAUGGUGGCCAAUCAUCAGCUAGAAAGAAAGUGCUUAGCAGGGCUUGAAAACACCAAAACUCUGAGACCACUGACCUUCAAAAACUUCAACAGCCCUGAGUGAAAAGUCCAAACACAUUUAUCUACCAUUCGAAGACGCUUUAUUGUCUGUCCUCUGCACAUCUCAGUAGUCUCUUUUUACCACACUGUCUAUAUACUGCAUGAGCCAUUUAUAUGAAACUAUCUGACACUCCAAGGCAUCUUGUACUAUAUAUUCAACUAUGUAUCCCUAGUACCUAGCACAGUCCUGGCAUAUAGUUUGCUACUAAACUUUUACAGAAUGAAGGAAUUAUCUUGUAUCCAGGUUCCAAGUUUUAAGGUGAUUCUUCAGUAAAAAAAAGUAUUACAGUUCACAAAUAAUCUACUUCCCUUUUUACAAAUGGGAUCAAUUUUAAUCUUAUCUCCUAAUAACAUUACUUUCAUUUACUCUGAUCUAAAUAUACUGUCCUAAGAGAGCAAUAAGAAAGAGAGUUGAAGCUGGAGUUUGAAGAAUUGUACAUGGUCCUGUGAUACCCUACCUUGUUUUAACCUGAGUGACUCUCUCCUAGCGGAGAGAGAGCCGGACAGACUCCAUUUUAGUUUCUUCACGUGCAGCCCCCUUUACCUUCCACCCUUAAUUGCAUAACUAGUGUAAACUGACUCAAAGCAGGUCCAGGAAUGCACUUAGUGAUAAGAUAUUGAGGCAAGCUGCACCAGCUGCUCCUGGGUACGCACUCGGUGAAUGUCACGCAAAACCCCUGCAUUUCUCUCUUUGUGAUAGUUUAAGCCCCUGCACCUGGAACUGUUUAUUUGUUUUGUAACUGCUAUUGUAACCAAUUAAUAUUUUAACUAUUUGCCAGCUCUGCUUCUGUAAAACUUGUUUCAGCUAAACUCCCCCCUCCCCUAUUUAGACCACGGUAUAAAAACAAAACCAGCCCCUUCCUCGGGGCCAAGAGAAUUUUGAGCAUUACAUGCCUCUCGGUUACCGGCUAAUAAAGGACUCCUUAAUUUGUCUCAAAGUGUGGCAUUCCUCUAUAACUCGCUUGGUUACAACAGUCCACACUGUGGCCUGAGGUGCAUUGCCCACCUGAGCUUCAUCUGUUAUGUAUGUCAGGGAAUAUAAGCAGGGUGAGAGUGGCCUCAUCAGAGGACCCCAGAUCUCUGGCUUACCCAUCUGGCAAGUGCACCUCUGUGAGCAAAGACUUCAGAGCCAGGUGACAAGAAUGGCCCAAGCAGUCCACCAGGAAAACCUGGGCCCAGUGUACGUCAAUGCAGAGCAUCAAGCAUGGUGUAACAGGUGCACAGUUGCCUACUCCUGUUCAGAGAUGACUGCAUCCCACAUACCGUAAAAUGAGGAAAUGCAUAGAAGCAGAUGUAACUGAAGAAGACAGCAGAAGCAACAAGGAGGGACAACCAGGACCUAGGAGGGCACCAUGCCAGAGACGCCUGGACCCCAUGCUAGGCUCAGUGCCUGUUAUACUCUUGGGAGCCAGCACUUUCCCUCUCCAUCACAUGGCAUACUUGCCAUUAUUUGUUGUGUAAAAUAUUGUCCUUAGUUUUCACCUUUCCUAGGAGACACAGGCAGAGCCUGUGACACUACAGCUUCUGGCACACAGUAGGUAGGUGCAUCACAAACAUCUGCUGAGUUCACACACUCUUGCCUUCUCAAAACUUCUUGUCAAGUCUUCAGUGAAAAGGAAUUGCUGAUUGAGCAAGAAUUAAACUUCUAGAGACUCCUGGAUCCACUGAAGUUUGAGACAAGGUGAGAUUUGUUUACUGUCAUAUUCCUAGCUCAUAACAUAUUGUAGUCACUUAAAAAAGUUUGUUGAAUAAGUGAGUAAAUUGAUUCAUACGUCAUACUUAGCUAUAUAUUUUCUGAGUAGAAUUGAUAAAGUUAAUAGUUUAAGUCUAGUAUAAUUUUGCUUUACUCAUUCAAUGAACCUGACAAUUCAAAUAGGUGCCAGGCACACUGCUGCUGAAGAAAAAGAGGUAUAAGAUAUAAUUUCUGUCUACAAGAAAGCCACAGUCUAAAAAGUAGAAACAUAUGAACAAAUCGUAACAAUAAAUAGGCUAAAUUCAAAAUCAGAGGAGUUUGUUUCUAUUUUAAACAGCUCUAGUCAGGAAGUGUUAGAGAGUUCUAAACAGGAAAUAUUCCAACACAUCAUCUAAGCAUGAAGCAGGAGACACCCAUAAUUGAGUUUGCUGCCACCAACCCCAACAGCAAGAAUUCCAGUCCUGCUGCUGCAAAGUAAGUGUCACUCUGAUUUUAUUGCUGCUGUGUAACCCAGUUUUAGACUCUCUGGUUCUCACUUAAUGUUCUAAAAAAGUAUUAAAGAGAAAAUUUUAUUCUGGUGAUGAGCCCAUCCACUGCAGCCAUCUCAACAUCAUACCAAUUAUAAGCCUAUCAUUUAAAAAGAAAGCUGUUAGUUUAACUUAUUUAUCCAAAUAUCAGUAUUACAUAAACAUAUUUGUCAUCAGACUUUGGACUUAUGGGUUAAAUAGCAUAUAAAUAUGAUUAGAGCCUUAAAGUUUACACUUCUCUGGUUCGCUCAAAUUUUUUUCAAAAUAGCAUAUGCCUUUCUAAACAAUGGUUAGUAUAUUUUUCAAAAUGAACAUUAAAAUGUAUAUUUUCCAAAAACAAAAUACAGCUCCCAUUGGUAAAUGAUGCUAUUGAGACACAACAGACAACUUCUCUUGGGAACCAUUUAAUCAGUGCUCACUUUUGCACUCUUUCCAGAAAUGUCAAUGGUUUUGAAAUAUAGAAGUAUAUUAUACAAAUAAACUUAUACUUAUUCAGUAUUGUGCAAUAUUUAGUAUUUCUUCUAGCCAUCUCUUGCUGAAUAGUAAGCCAUUCCAAAACUUACGGAAUUAUUUAUUGUUUAAUAUUGUUUAUUGUUAUUAUUUGUUUAGUAAUUUUAAUAACGUUAUUUCUCAUGGUUUUGUGGGUUGAUGGGCACUACAAAAGUUCUCUUUUGGAGUCUUUCUUGCAGUUGCGGUUGGUUGGCUGCUGCUGAAGUCACCUGAAAGCUCAAUUAGGCUAAAGAGUCUAAACGGGUCACUUACAUGGCUGGCAGUGCAUAUUGGCUGCUGAGUGUGAUGCCUAUCUGACCUCUCCAUGUUACCUGGAGUGCUCACAACGUGGUAGUUUGUCCCAAGACACACAGGCAAAUACUACAAAGCUUCUUAGGGCCUAGCCUUGGAGGUCCUAGAAUACGACUUCUGCUGCAUCCUAUUGGAAAAGCAAGUCAUUGUGACCAGCACAGAUUCAAGAAAUGGGAGAUUCGACUCUACCUGUCAAUGUAAACAGCAGCAUGUGCAUGCAGGGAGGAAAGAAAUUGAGGGCAUCAUCUUGAAGACUAUCAUAUCACACCAUUAUUCCAACUAGUGAACAUUAUGUUUUAGAUGGGUAGUACUAGCUACUCAUCUGUCCCCCAGAAACCCAAGCUAAGCAUGGACAUAUUGAAGAGAAUGUCAACACCAUUAAAAAAACUCUAGAAAAAUCACAUGUGAUGACUGAGGUUAAUUCAGUCUGUCAACUACAUCAAUAUAAUUGCCUUCUUGUAACCCUAAGUAUGGUGAAGCAGAAUUGAAUUCUACAAAAGUCUUUCAUCUGUUUUCCUAUGGAAUAAUUAACAAACCCAAUAAAUGUAUAAAUAGC
rnacentral:lncRNA from 10 species